rnacentral:rRNA from 1 species
CAAAAACAUGUCUUUUUGAUUAUAAUUUUAAGUCUAGCCUGCCCACUGAAAAUUUGAAGGGCCGCAGUAUUCUGACUGUGCAAAGGUAGCAUAAUCAUUUGCCUCUUAAUUAGAGGCUAGUAUGAAUGGUUGAACGAAAUACAAACUGUCUCACUCUUAAAAUUAUAAAAAUUUAGCUUUCUAGUUAAAAGGCUUGAAUAUUAUUAGAGGACGAGAAGACCCUAUAGAACUUUAUAAUUUUUUAAUUAAAUUUAUAUAGAAAAAUAUUAUUUUUUAUUUAAAUUAUUAUUUUGUUGGGGUGACAGGAAAAUAAAUAUAACUUUUUUAAUAUAAGAACAUUGAUUUAUGAAUAUUUGAUCCAUUAUUAGUGAUUAUUAGAAUAAGUUACCUUAGGGAUAACAGCGUAAUUUUGUUGGAGAGUUCAUAUCUAUAACAAAGUUUGCGACCUCGAUGUUGAAUUAAAGAAAUUUUAGAGUGCAGAAGCUUAAGUAAUAGGUCGUCG